GCAAGUCGGGCGAAACCUUCGGGUUUAGCGGCGGACGGGUGAGUAACGCGUGGGAAUAUACCCUUCUCUACGGAAUAGCCUCGGGAAACUGAGAGUAAUACCGUAUACGCCCUUCGGGGGAAAGAUUUAUCGGAGAAGGAUUAGCCCGCGUUAGAUUAGGUAGUUGGUGGGGUAAUGGCCUACCAAGCCUACGAUCUAUAGCUGGUUUGAGAGGAUGAUC
rnacentral:rRNA from 1 species